rnacentral:sRNA from 1 species
AGAUGUGAAGAUACUCUGCCUGCAAUAUCUGUCUUGCUGCUGUCAUCCGUGUCAAUUCAGCUGAUGUGACUGGCUAGGUGGCCAGCCUCUUUUUCCUCUUCCCAGGUUCAUGUACAGCAGUUGAGAGUUUGCUCAGUCACAAAGGAUGCCCUUCCAUGACAGAAGACCAUUCUUUAGUCAAGGGUAUAUUCAAAGAUUCACUUACCUACUAGAAUCUCUAACCAAUCCCCCAAGAAAUGCCAAGCUCCUGUAUCUCCUCCCCCUGAGCAAUAUUGCUACUGUCCUGUGGAAAGUAUCUGG